UACGGAGGGGGCGAGCGUUAUUCGGAAUUACUGGGCGUAAAGGGCUCGUAGGCGGCCAACUAAGUCAGACGUGAAAUCCCUCGGCUUAACCGGGGAACUGCAUCUGAUACUGGAUGGCUUGAGUUCGGGAGAGGGAUGCGGAAUUCCAGGUGUAGCGGUGAAAUGCGUAGAUAUCUGGAGGAACACCGGUGGCGAAGGCGGCAUCCUGGACCGACACUGACGCUGAGGAGCGAAAGCCAGGGGAGCAAACGGG
rnacentral:rRNA from 1 species